UGGUGGGCGACCGGGCGCAUCCUCAUUGCAGUGCGGCGGCCCUACCCCGGCCCUGGCCUGACCCCGGCGGCCCUGCCCGCCCCUCCCUCCAGCAUCAUGGCCAGCCCAAGAACCAGGAAGGUUCUUAAAGAAGUCAGGGUGCAGGAUGAGAACAACGUUUGUUUUGAGUGUGGCGCAUUCAAUCCUCAGUGGGUCAGUGUGACCUACGGCAUCUGGAUCUGCCUGGAGUGCUCGGGGAGACACCGCGGGCUUGGGGUGCACCUCAGCUUUGUGCGCUCUGUUACUAUGGACAAGUGGAAGGACAUUGAGCUUGAGAAGAUGAAAGCUGGUGGGAAUGCUAAGUUCCGAGAGUUCCUGGAGUCUCAGGAGGAUUACGAUCCUUGCUGGUCCUUGCAGGAGAAGUACAACAGCAGAGCCGCGGCCCUCUUUAGGGAUAAGGUGGCCACUCUGGCCAAAGGCAGAGAGUGGUCUCUGGAGUCAUCACCUGCCCAGAACUGGACCCCACCUCAGCCCAGGACGCUGCCGUCCACGGUGCACCGAGCCUCUGGCCAGCCGCAGAGUGUGACUGCCUCCUCGGACAAGGCUUUUGAAGACUGGCUGAAUGAUGACCUCGGCUCCUAUCAAGGGGCCCAGGGGAAUCGCUACGUGGGGUUUGGGAACACGCCACCGCCUCAGAAGAAAGAAGAUGACUUCCUCAACAACGCCAUGUCCUCCCUGUACUCGGGCUGGAGCAGCUUCACCACUGGAGCCAGCCGGUUUGCCUCGGCAGCCAAGGAGGGCGCUACAAAGUUUGGAUCCCAAGCGAGUCAGAAGGUAACAGAGGAGAAGCUUCUGCACCCUGGUGCAUCUGAAACUAUCCUGAGUCUGACGUCACAUGCAGCACCUGAAGCUGCCUGGUUCCCUCUUCUCAGGCCACAUGCUCAGAGCUGAGGGGUCCCAGCGUAGAAGGGGGUGUUCCUGCCAUGUUGUUCCCCUCCUCAUGCCUGGGUGGCUGCCUCAUGGACCCGCUCAGGGCCUGCAGGGCCAAACUCGUUUCCUGUUCACUGGUAGCUGGUACCGGUGUGCGGCCACUGUGGCCGGCCACCUUGUUGGGAGCAGGACUGCCCGGCUUGGCAGAUGGCCCGCGCUGGCGGUGGCCGCUCAGCCAGAAGGGCCGCUGUGGUUGGUGCUGUGCCUGCGGCACACCGGACGCGUCUGCGCUUCGAGGCAACGGGGCGUCCCUUUGCUCUGGCCAGGGCUUCCCCCAGUUGGGGCAGUGUGGCCUCAGGCCUUUGCAUGUUUUUUAUUCUUUAGGAUGUGGGUAGGGGCCCCGCAGUCCCCACUUGGUGGUCAGGGCUGUGAUCUGGCUGUCCUCGGGUUCAGAAUCACACCCAGGAGGCAGUACCCAUGUGAGGCUCACCAUGAAAGCUCAGGACUGCAGGCGUGGAGCUGUGCAUGGCUCUAGGACGCGCCUUUGCCCCCUGGGCGAGGGAGUCCUUUCUCACGAGGUG
rnacentral:sRNA from 1 species